AAAGAUUCGAACCUGCAGCAGGUUUGAGUUGAGCGCAGCGAAACAACGGAGCCGCUCGCGGCGACGGCCCGAAAGGCGAGCGAAGCGAGUCAUCCUGCACGACCCACCA
rnacentral:sRNA from 1 species